AGAGAAAUUUGGAUUAAUACCUCAUAGUAUAGCAGUUUCGCAUGAAACCACUNUUAAAGUCACAACGGUGAAAGAUGAGCAUGCGUCCCAUUAGCUAGUUGGUAAGGUAACGGCUUACCAAGGCAACGAUGGGUAGGGGUCCUGAGAGGGAGAUCCCCCACACUGGUACUGAGACACGGACCAGACUCCUACCGGGAGGCAGCAGUGAGGAAUAUUGGACAAUGGGCGCAAGCCUGAUCCAGCCAUGCCGCGUGCAGGAUGACGGUCCUAUGGAUUGUAAACUGCUUUUUAUACAGGAAGAAACACUACUUCGUGAAGUAGCUUGACGGUACUGUAAGAAUAAGGAUCGGCUAACUCCGUG
rnacentral:rRNA from 1 species